GACGAACGCUGGCGGCGUGCUUAACACAUGCAAGUCGAACGGAAAGGCCCUGCUUUUGUGGGGUGCUCGAGUGGCGAACGGGUGAGUAACACGUGAGUAACCUGCCCUUGACUUUGGGAUAACUUCAGGAAACUGGGGCUAAUACCGGAUAGGAGCUCCUGCUGCAUGGUGGGGGUUGGAAAGUUUCGGCGGUUGGGGAUGGACUCGCGGCUUAUCAGCUUGUUGGUGGGGUAGUGGCUUACCAAGGCUUUGACGGGUAGCCGGCCUGAGAGGGUGACCGGCCACGUGGGGACUGAGAUAAGGCCCAGACUCCUACGGGAGGCAGCAGUGGAGAAUAUUGCACAAUGGGCGGAAGCCUGAUGCAGCAACGCCGCGUGCGGGAUGACGGCCUUCGGGUUGUAAACCGCUUUCGCCUGUGACGAAGCGUGAGUGACGGUAAUGGGUAAAGAAGCACCGGCUAACUACGUG
rnacentral:rRNA from 1 species